rfam:Arabidopsis thaliana chromosome 3, complete sequence.
CGGAUGAGGAUAGAGAAGUGGAGUAUGACACAAGCAUGUAUCAAUUUAGAGAGCAUGUAUCACUUUAGAGAGCAUGUACCUCCAGCGAGGGAGAGCAAGAGCUUGAGUGAGGCUCAUAGAAACAACAUCAUGUUGUAGAAGUGGUGCAAAAAACAUGAUAAGUUCAUCAUCAAAUGCCUAAAGACCAUCAAGGCUCUGAAGGCUAUGAUAAACUUCACCUCUUCCACUACAGCUAUUCUG